CGCUAUGUAUUAUAAACCUUUAUGUAAUAAUACUAAAAAUUGGUGCCAUGGAUGUUAGGGUUUGAUGUUAAUGACAUAUCUGAAGAUGCAAGACAGGAUGCAAAGGAGUCCUUGAAUCAUAUAUAUUCAUCGAUCAACUAGAAUGAGAGCCAGAGAAAGAAAGAGAGGAUUUGGGAGAAACAGACCGCUAAUUUCCAUUUUGGUUUCCAGAAUUGGUGAAUCGGGAGAUGCUGAUUAGGUUCAACUCGUGGUGGUGUUGUCUUACAAGUUUGCUGAAAGGUCUGGAGUGGAAUAACGGGUUCCUUCAACAUUCGGCACCACCAAAGCUGUCAAGGUAAAGACCCAGAAUAGAACAUUACAACCGGGAGGAUGUCUUUUUAUAAGUUUGUUUGAUCACUCACAUCAGAAUUCUUGCAAAAUCCUGGGGAUGGAGUCGAAGGAACAGAUUGUGGUCUGGUUUUUGGUAUUCCGGGAUCUCAUUUAGUUUCUAAUUCAUGAGAUCGGGGGUCUUGGCUUCUUGAUUAUUCGGGUACAUUUUUGGUUCUCAUCUUAAAACAACGAUUUGUACUAAAAAGGUUUGGGCAGUCGGGUAAUGCUAUUCGUUGGAACAAAUGGGUUCCUAUGAAAGUGGGCAUUUUGUCUUGGAGGGCAAAGGCUUCCAAGGAGGUGUGCUUUAAGAUGUCGAAACGUUAAUCUGGCUUCCACGAUCUGCCCUGUGUGUAGGGAAGCAUCAAAGAUGGCUGAGCUUAUUUUUGUGGUGUGGAUUUCGCAAGCGGUUUGGGUGGUAGUCGCACAAUGGUGUCACCCUGUCCCAUUUUCGCCUUCAACAUCAAUGACCUGUUGGACUUGAAUAUUUACGCCAAUGGGUCGAUUAAAUACAAGAAG